UGGUUGGUACAACGGAGUUGCGAGUCGGUGACGGCGAGCUAAUCUACUUAAAGCCAAUCUCAGUUCGGAUUGUAGGCUGCAACUCGCCUACAUGAAGUCGGAAUCGCUAGUAAUCGCGGAUCAGCACGCCGCGGUGAAUACGUUCCCGGGCCUU
rnacentral:rRNA from 1 species